rnacentral:misc_RNA from 1 species
GUGCGAAGACGAAAGUCCGAGCGC